UUAGAGGUUGGACUCGAUGAUCUUGAGGUCUCUUCCAACCUAGAAAUUCUGUGAUUCUGUGAUUCUGUGAUUUUUAAUUAUUACUCCAAGCUUGCUUGGAGUAGAAAGCGUCAACCGACCUUAAACAAGCCAUUGCUUCUGAUGAUAAUAUGUAUGUGUGCAUAAUGUUUGUGCCCUGGAAAAAUCAGUGAAUAUUGAAAAGCUGGACCAGUACAUGAUAUCACUGGUAUUUUUGCUUUGCUGAAUUAUCUGCAGCAGAGCUCCUUCCAAUCAGUCACAAGGAGACUUCCACGCUCUUUGAAGCUAAAAAAUCUGUGUAAUUUGUCUCCCUCUGCCAUAGUGCAAGUGCCUGUUGGAUUUCCCUGAAGAAAUUACUUUCAUUUAAUAAAGUUUAUACACUGCAUGUGCUCAUAAAUAAAUAAAUAAAUAAAUAAAAAUCCUGCUUGGUAAUCCUAUCUCUUGUAGCAUCCAUAAAUUAAUUUGUUUCUUGAGAGCAAGAAUGAUUUAUAACUCACAACAAAACAGAGCAUGAGCAUGAGCAAAUUAAGAGGAGCAUUCAGGCAGUUGGAAUGCAAUUACAGCAUAAAUGUACAUGCCGUGUUAAUGCGAUAUUAAGGUUAUGAAUUUAGUCAAACAGGAAUCAGCAUUCACAAAGAUAUGGUGCCUUCCUCCCUACAGUAUUUGUCUAGUUGUGCAGACAUGAGAAACGUCUGUAUUACUGAAAAACAAUCAGAGGGCUACCUAUGACUUUCAUAUGUGCAGACUCAAGAUGCCAUUUUAUCUCUGAGCUGCACCAGCUUGUGAACGGUGACAUACACUUUGCUCCACUGAAGAGAUAUGGCUUUUAUUCUGGUUGCUUUCCUUAGUCUAAGUCAUUGGGCAGGAAGGAUCUGCCUGCUUGGCUUGCACAGAAGCACUAGGAUGCUGCUGUGCCCACCGCCAGGCCUGGCAGGAGCCACAGGCCCAACCCAGCUGAGACGUGCAAUGGCUGGGAUGACUGGCUUUGGGUCUUAGGUUCCAGCUGAGGGUCAUCUGCCAAAGGGAGGUGUCCCUCGGGCUCUGCAGAGGGCAGCCACUGCAGCAGUUGGGGUGUCAUGCAGCACCACCUGGUCUGUGCUCAUGAGGACAGGGUGAAGGUGAUGAAUUCUACUGAAAGGGAUUUGCAGCAGCAGGAAAGGCAGAGAUGAGGCCCAUGCAAUAGGAUUUGGAGCCACAUCAGCCUUCUGGCCUGCUGGGGACCCAUUGCCCAUUCCCCUGCGCUGUUCAGGGGGAGGAGCACAAGUGGAAGAGCUGCAGCUUCUACCAGAGGAUUUGCUUCUGCACAGAGAAAGGCAUUGAUGGUUUCAUAGAAGUUGUUCCUUCACAGGUUUUCUGAUGGUGUUUGAACGAUGGCUGGGAAAAAAGAAGGUACUGCAUCGAGGGAAGGGAAUGAUUUAUCCAAACAUGAAAGACAUUUCAAAAGACAAAUAUCCCAUCCCAGACAGUUAACCUUAAGACUCCAUUACAAGGAUUAUGGUCUACUAAGAGCUGGCAACUUUUUGUAAAGAAAAAGACCUUUCAUCUCUGUACUAAAAGAAGAGAAUUUGAAGAACUGCUACCUUUUCUUUCUGCAAAAAUAGUACAAUAGUCUUUUGGUAGUAUUGUAAGAUGGCUGGUAGAAUUUAGAGGCUUUUUUUUUUUUUUUUUUAGCAAACUGAAUUAAAAUUGCUUUAAAGAAGACCUGAA